rnacentral:snoRNA from 1 species
CGGCUGUAGCCAAAUUAAAUCGAAGGAGCUUACUGGCCGGUUAUUGUGUUUCUGUCGAUAAAUCUGCUUACCGAGCUUCUCACAUUU